GACGAACGCUGGCGGCGUGCUUAACACAUGCAAGUCGAACGAAGUGGCGAACGGGUGUGUAAUACGUGAGUAACCUGCCCUCCUUUAUGGGAUAAGCCUUGGAAACGUGGUCUAAUACCGAAUAAAGGGGGAUGGGCUCGCGGCCUAUCAGCUUGUUGGUGGGGUGUUGGCCUACCAAGGCGGUGUCGGGUCGCAGGCCUGGAGGGGUGACCGGCCACAUUGGAACUGAGAUACGGCCCGGACUGAGACAGGAGGCAGCAGUGGGGGAGAUUGCACAAUAGGCGAAAGCGUGAAGCGGCGGAGCCGCGUGAGGGAUGAAGGCGUGCGGGUUAUAACCCUCUUUCGCUAGCGAACGGGUAGGUGGAGAAUAAGCGCCGGCUAACUACGUGCCAGCAGCCGCGGUAAUUC
rnacentral:rRNA from 1 species